rnacentral:rRNA from 1 species
CAGCAGCCGCGGGAAAACGAAGGGUGCAAGCGUUAAUCGGAAUUACUGGGCGUAAAGCGUGCGUAGGCGGUUGUGUAAGACAGGUGUGAAAUCCCCGGGCUUAACCUGGGAACUGCGCUUGUGACUGCACAGCUAGAGUAUGGCAGAGGGGGGUGGAAUUCCACGUGUAGCAGUGAAAUGCGUAGAGAUGUGGAGGAACACCGAUGGCGAAGGCAGCCCCCUGGGCCAAUACUGACGCUCAUGCACGAAAGCGUGGGGAGCAAACAGGAUUAGAUACCCCGGUAGUCCCUGUCUCUUAUAA